rnacentral:rRNA from 1 species
GACGAACGCUGGCGGCGUGCCUAACACAUGCGAGUCGAGCGGAGCUAGUAGCAAUAUUAGUUUAGCGGCGGACGGGUGAGUAACGCGUGGGCAACCUGCCUUCUACAGAGGGAUAACACAGGGAAACUUGUGCUAAUACCGCAUAACAUACUUAAGGGACCUCCCUUGGGUAUCAAAGGAGCAAUCCGGUAGAAGAUGGGCCCGCGUCCGAUUAGCUAGUUGGAGGUGUAACGGACCACCAAGGCGACGAUCGGUAGCCGAACUGAGAGGUUGAUCGGCCACAUUGGGGCUAAGACACGGCCCAGACUCCUACGGGAGGCAGCAGUGGGGAAUAUUGCGCAAUGGGGGAAACCCUGACGCAGCAACGCCGCGUGAAGGAUGAAGGUCUUCGGAUUGUAAACUUCUUUAGUCGGGGACGAAGAAAUGACGGUACCCGAAGAAUAAGCCACGGCUAACUACGUGCCAGCAGCCGCCGCCG